AGAAAUUGGCUGAGAUUCGAGAAACCACAGGUCUUUA
rnacentral:rRNA from 1 species